rnacentral:rRNA from 1 species
UGAGGAAUAUUGGUCAAUGGGCGAGAGCCUGAACCAGCCAAGUAGCGUGCAGGAUGACGGCCCUAUGGGUUGUAAACUGCUUUUAUAUGGGAAUAAAGUGAGGGACGUGUCCCUUAUUGCAUGUACCAUACGAAUAAGGACCGGCUAAUUCCGUGCCAGCAGCCGCGGUAAUACGGAAGGUCCAGGCGUUAUCCGGAUUUAUUGGGUUUAAAGGGAGCGUAGGCUGUUUGUUAAGCGUGUUGUGAAAUGUAAGAGCUCAACUUUUAGAUUGCAGCGCGAACUGGCAGACUUGAGUGCGCACAACGUAGGCGGAAUUCAUGGUGUAGCGGUGAAAUGCUUAGAUAUCACGAAGAACUCCGAUCGCGAAGGCAGGUGUCUGGGCUGCAACUGACGCUGAGGCUCGAAAGUGUGGGUAUCAAACAGG